rnacentral:rRNA from 1 species
CGUUCCCGGGCCUUGUACACACCGCCCGUCACACCACGAAAGUGGGCAACACCGAAGCCGGUGGCCUAACCCUUGUGGAGGGAGCCGUCGAAGGUGGGGCUCGCGAUUGGGGUG